AUACCGGCGGCCCGAGUGGUGGCCGCUAUUAUUGGGCCUAAAGCGUCCGUAGCCGGGCCCGUAAGUCCCUGGCGAAAUCCCACGGCUCAACCGUGGGGCUUGCUGGGGAUACUGCGGGCCUUGGGACCGGGAGAGGCCGGGGUACCCCUGGGGUAGGGGUGAAAUCCUAUAAUCCCAGGGGGACCGCCAGUGGCGAAGGCGCCCGGUUGGAACGGGUCCGACGGUGAGGGACGAAGGCCAGGGGUGCGAACCGGAUUAGAUACCCGAGUAGUCC
rnacentral:rRNA from 1 species